rnacentral:rRNA from 1 species
ACCAGACUCCUACGGGAGGCAGCAGUGAGGAAUAUUGGUCAAUGGGCGGGAGCCUGAACCAGCCAAGUCGCGUGAGGGAAGACGGUCCUACGGAUUGUAAACCUCUUUUGCCGGGGAGCAACGGGGUCCUUGCGAGGGCCCGAUGAGAGUACCCGGAGAAAAAGCAUCGGCUAACUCCGUGCCAGCAGCCGCGGUAAUACGGAGGAUGCGAGCGUUAUCCGGAUUUAUUGGGUUUAAAGGGUGCGUAGGCGGGCUGUUAAGUCCGCGGUAAAAAUUCGGGGCUCAACCCCGUCGUGCCGUUGAAACUGAUGUUCUUGAGUGGGCGAGAAGUAUGCGGAAUGCGUGGUGUAGCGGUGAAAUGCAUAGAUAUCACGCAGAACUCCGAUUGCGAAGGCAGCAUACCGGCGCCCAACUGACGCUGAAGCACGAAAGCGUGGGUAUCGAACAGGAUUAGAUACCCGGGUAU